UACGUAGGGGGCAAGCGUUGUCCGGAUUUAUUGGGCGUAAAGAGCGUGUAGGCGGCCACACAGGUCUGCUGUGAAAACUCGAGGCUCAACCUCGAGCUGUCGGUGGAAACCGUGUGGCUAGAGUCCGGAAGAGGAGAGUGGAAUUCCCGGUGUAGCGGUGAAAUGCGCAGAUAUCGGGAAGAACACCCGUGGCGAAGGCGGCUCUCUGGGACGGUACUGACGCUGAGGAGCGAAAGCGUGGGGAGCGAACAGG
rnacentral:rRNA from 1 species